UAAUACGGAGGGUGCAAGCGUUGUUAGGAAUUACUGGGCGUAAAGGGCGUGUAGGCGGAUCGAGUAGUUGGGUGUGAAAGCCCUGGGCUCAACCCAGGAAGUGCGCCCGAAACCAUCGAUCUUGAGUUCUGGAAGGGAGCGGGGAAUUCCCAGUGUAGAGGUGAAAUUCGUAGAUAUUGGGAGGAACACCGGUGCCGAAGGGGCCGCUCUGGACAGAUACUGACGCUGAGACGCGAAAGCGUGGGGAGCAAACAGGAUUAGAUACCCUGGUAGUCCACGCUGUAAACGAUGUGCACUAGGUGUCGGGGGUAUUGACCCCCCCGGUGCCGCCGCUAACGCAUUAAGUGCACCGCCUGGGGAGUACGGCCGCAAGGUUG
rnacentral:rRNA from 1 species